GGAUUGUAGCUCAGUGGUAGAGCACUUGCCUAGUAUGUGUGAGGCCCUGGAUUCGAUCCUCAGCACCA
rnacentral:tRNA from 1 species